GACGAACGCUGGCGGCGUGCCUAAUACAUGCAAGUAGAACGCUGAAGAGAGGAGCUUGCUCUUCUUGGAUGAGUUGCGAACGGGUGAGUAACGCGUAGGUAACCUGCCUUGUAGCGGGGGAUAACUAUUGGAAACGAUAGCUAGUACCGCAUAACAAUGGAUGACACAUGUCAUUUAUUUGAAAGGGGCAAUUGCUCCACUACAAGAUGGACCUGCGUUGUAUUAGCUAGUAGGUGAGGUAAUGGCUCACCUAGGCGACGAUACAUAGCCGACCUGAGAGGGUGAUCGGCCACACUGGGACUGAGACACGGCCCAGACUCCUACGGGAGGCAGCAGUAGGGAAUCUUCGGCAAUGGGGGCAACCCUGACCGAGCAACGCCGCGGGAGUGAAGAAGGUUUUCGGAUCGUAAAGCUCUGUUGUAAGUCAAGAACGGGUGUGAGAGUGGAAAGUUCACACUGUGACGGUAGCUUACCAGAAAGGGACGGCUAACUACGUG
rnacentral:rRNA from 1 species